AUUGAACGCUGGCGGCAUGCCUUACACAUGCAAGUCGAACGGUAACAGGUCUUCGGAUGCUGACGAGUGGCGAACGGGUGAGUAAUACAUCGGAACGUGCCCAGACGUGGGGGAUAACGAGGCGAAAGCUUUGCUAAUACCGCAUACGAUCUAAGGAUGAAAGCAGGGGACCGCAAGGCCUUGUUCGUUUGGAGCGGCCGAUGGCAGAUUAGGUAGUUGGUGGGAUAAAAGCUUACCAAGCCGACGAUCUGUAGCUGGUCUGAGAGGACGACCAGCCACACUGGGACUGAGACAUGGCCCAGACUCCUACGGGAGGCAGCAGUGGGGAAUUUUGGACAAUGGGCGAAAGCCUGAUCCAGCAAUGCCGCGUGCAGGAUGAAGGCCUUCGGGUUGUAAACUGCUUUUGUACGGAACGAAAAGGCUCUGGCUAAUACCUGGGGCACAUGACGGUACCGUAAGAAUAAGCACCGGCUAACUACGUG
rnacentral:rRNA from 1 species